CCUGCUAUAAGGUAACUCCAAAUAUCAAAAAAUCAAGAGGAUUGAGUAUUAGGGGACAAAUUAGUCUUAGCCCACCUAACUCAACCUAAGCACCUAGCUAACCCUCUACCCGAUAUAAUUGAAGUCAUCCAGAAUAUCAAGGCAACCUUCCAGUCCGGAAGCAUAUCCCGAAUUUGAGGGUAUCGGAAAAGAUCUUUUGGGUACAUUACAAUGUCCUAAUAAAAUCAGAGUUGCAAAGCAAAAGAGGGAUGGCCUCUUCUCACCGUGUCAUCAGUCAGUUACUGCUUGCAAACUCAUAAUCCACUAUUCAAUUCAGCAAAGUUUACAUAUUCUCUGCAUAACUGUUGAGCCACUAAACUUUAUGAAUAACUUGAGGUUCAGUUUAUUCG
rnacentral:lncRNA from 1 species